UAAAAAUGUUGGACAGGCUCAGUGGA
rnacentral:piRNA from 1 species